AGCGAACGCUGGCGGCAGGCUUAACACAUGCAAGUCGAGCGGGCACUUUCGGGUGUCAGCGGCGGACGGGUGAGUAACGCGUGGGAACGUGCCCUCUGGUUCGGAAUAACUCAGGGAAACUUGAGCUAAUACCGGAUACGCCCUUUUGGGGAAAGGCUUGCUGCCGGAGGAUCGGCCCGCGUCUGAUUAGCUAGUUGGUGAGGUAACGGCUCACCAAGGCGACGAUCAGUAGCUGGUCUGAGAGGAUGAUCAGCCACACUGGGACUGAGACACGGCCCAGACUCCGACGGGAGGCAGCAGUGGGGAAUAUUGGACAAUGGGCGCAAGCCUGAUCCAGCCAUGCCGCGUGAGUGAUGAAGGCCUUAGGGUUGUAAAGCUCUUUUAUCCGGGACGAUAAUGACGGUACCGGAGGAAUAAGCCCCGGCUAACUUCGUG
rnacentral:rRNA from 1 species